rnacentral:rRNA from 1 species
UUUGGCGGGCCGCGGUUCUCCGCGGCCGGCCCCCUGACCGGGGCUGGCCUGCGCCCGCCAGAGGACCACAAAACUCCAGUCAGUGAACUUUGCUGUCUGAUUUAAAUUCAAUAAACUAAAACUUUCAACAACGGAUCUCUUGGUUCUGGCAUCGAUGAAGAACGCAGCGAAAUGCGAUAAGUAAUGUGAAUUGCAGAAUUCAGUGAAUCAUCGAAUCUUUGAACGCACAUUGCGCCCUUUGGUAUUCCGAAGGGCAUGCCUGUUCGAGCGUCAUUACACCCCUCAAGCUCUGCUUGGUGUUGGGCGGCGUCCUCCCGGACGCGCCUCAAAGACCUCGGCGGUGGCGUCUUGCCUCAAGCGUAAUAAAAAACACCUCGCUUUGGAGGACGGGACGACCGCUCGCCGGACGAACCUUUGAAUUCAUUUUCCUAGGUUGACCUCGGAUCAGGUAGGGAUACCCGC